rnacentral:rRNA from 1 species
UACAGAGGUCUCAAGCGUUGUUCGGAUUCAUUGGGCGUAAAGGGCGCGUAGGCGGCCAUUCAAGUGACGGGUGAAAGCCCUCGGCUUAACCGAGGAACUGCCUGUCAGACUGGAUGGCUUGAGACCGGGAGAGGUGAGUGGAAUUCCCAGUGUAGCGGUGAAAUGCGCAGAUAUCAGGAGGAACACCAAUGGCGAAGGCAGCUCGCUGGGACGGUACUGACGCUGAGGCGCGAAAGCGUGGGGAGCGAACAGG